AUGCAUGAUGUCAUACGCCUUCUUGCCCUCAACAAAGCCAAGGAGGAAUGCUUUGGUAAGGUUUAUGAUGGCUCUUCUACUGGGACAUUCUCUAUAGAGGGUGCACGUCAAAUAUUGGUCCAGGGGAGAAAUCUUGAAAAACUGAGCAGAUCUGGUGCAACACAGCUCCGUGCUCUCCAUGUAUUUGAGAGGUAUAUCGAUAUUGAUUUGUUGAAACCUAUCCUAAUGUCUUCAAAUCUGUUGUCAAUGUUGGAUCUGCAAGGUACUCGUGUCAAAAUUCUGCUUAAUGAGGUAUUUGACUUGUUUAAUCUGCGUUAUCUGGGCCUUAGAUAUACCGAUCUUGAAAUCCUGCAAGAAAUAGUGGGGAGGUUACGAAAUUUGGAAGUCUUGGAUGCUGCACAUUCUAAGCUGACGUAUUUGCCAAACCGUGUUGUAGAACUUAAAAAAUUGAGAUACCUGUACGCAUUUCCUACCAGCAGAUCAGAACUUGGAAGUAUACGUGGGGUCAAGACGCCCCUUGGUAUACAACGCUUGGCAGGAUUGCGGGCUCUUCAGUCCAUUGUCGCGACUCCAGAGUUUCUGCAUGAUGUUGGAGCUUUGAUAGAGCUAAGAACAUUUGAUGUGUGCAACGUUUGGAGUAAACACUCAGUAGACUUGAGCAAUGCUGUCAAUGGAAUGAGCCAUCUUGUUCAUCUAGAAAUCCAUGCUGCAACUGAGAAGGAGGUGCUGCAGCUGGAAGGACUAUAUUUACCUCCAACCCUUUCUUGGCUUGGUUUCGCAGGGCAGCUACAAAAAACAUAUGAGGGAGUCCUGGAUUAG
rnacentral:rRNA from 1 species